UUAAUUUUUUGCUUAUUUUUUCAUUUCAUGCCUCAAUAUUUAUUUUUCAACGAGUUCGAUUCUGAACGCCAGAUGGCGAAGUCUUCGCCUCCCUUUUUCGUCUUAUUGGCUCUCACAGGGGCAGGGAUAGGAAUUCUGGCUACACCUGUCGCCUUCAUGGCAGUAGAUACAUGUUUACAGGCCUUAACCAUUAAGUAGGCCUUGGUUUUUCCUGCCCCAUCCUUAUCUCAUUGUCUUAGACUCCGAUUGCGUCUUUUAUGUCAGUAGUCUGAAUUUUCGAAAUUCUGUGUCUCUGUGUCUCUCAAUCUGUGCGGUGCAGUUAGUGUUAACAGUGUACGAUGUAAUUUGACUUGAGCUCACAGUAUGGAAGGAAAUGUAUUUCCGAAGCUGAUUCAACACGGUAUCGAAUAAAAGACAAGAAUUAUAACCAAACUAUCACUAAAAUUCAUUACCAACAUCAUGUGUCCACAUCGCUAUACAAUUGGCCAAAUUCACGAGAUCGGUCAAGUGAGGCUGGAACAAUUUAGGAGAAUUCGCGUUGGGAGACGAAUGUUGUGCAUUACAGUCAUGGAGUUUCCCAACACCCUGACGAAAUCAGUUCAUCUUCUACAAAACACACGUGUUAAAUUCUGUUUGAUUCUGAUGACUUGGCGUUACUGCUGGACAAUUAUUAGAUCACCUAGAGAUUAUUACAUGUCAUUUCAUGGACUGACAGAAAUCAAGAGCAACCUGUGCCUGUAAUAAUUAUUGUCGUGUCACAGGGGCUUGUUCUGUGGGUCUCCUCACUUGCCCUUGAUUUUGCUGCGUGACGUGAGGAUGUUGUCCAUGAGACGGCCCUAUAGGCUUCCUUUGCUGGACAGUGGAAAUGGUUGGCUGGUGAGGAUGAUGGAAAGGAAGACGUACGUUUGUUUGAGGAGGCUUCAGGUGGGCAGCAGGUUGGUGAUCAGAUUCGAUUUCGUUUGUUCUAAUAUCCUCAGUGAUGAAGAUGUGAAUCAGCUGCUGGGCGUUGUACUGACAAGUUGAAUAGAACUGGGCGCAAAUUUGGUUGUUGGAUCGACCCUGAUGCGAGGCACCAAGUUGAGCAGCUCUAUAAUACCAUUCCUUUGGAGUAUCUUUGUCUUCUUCGUUCAAGGAAGAUAGUGGAUAUCUAGUAGAACAAAAAUCUAAUUAAACAUCUGUCCAUUCUCCCACUUUAAGCUGAAUGUAAUGAAAUGCAAGUGAUCAAUCACCCGAAAAUGUCUUGCAGAAUGACUUCAUCAUCUGUGAGGCUUUCUUUUGGCUUCUGGUAGACUUCACACAUUAAACGGCGGCCGCACGAUUGUUCAUCAAACUGCGCGGCCAUGUAAAGUGUCGCGUUUGCCCCGUCUGACUCCGUAAUCUGCUCCGUGUCCACUGGCGCUGCUUCCGUAAUCUGAUCCAAAUUGAUUGGCACCGUUGAUCUCCGAGUACGAAGGAGCGGCUGAGUGUACCGGAGUUGUGGGUGAAUAUGGAGGAGGAGCGCGGCCACUUUGUGCGAGAGAAUAAGAUGGACUGUACACGGGCGGAGGCAGGGAGAAGAAAUCCACCAAGGAAGAGGAGGGCAAGUGGAGCUUUUAAUCCAAUCAAACCUUUGGUUACGAGGGCGAAUUUAAGGGCCAACACCUUGGCGAGGAUGACAGCCUUGCCACCGAGGAGGAUCAGAGGAAUCUUGAGCAACAGUUUGCCGAGGGCGCCUUUGAGUAACAGUUUUUUAAGUGCCAAAAGGGCGAAAGGAUCGCUUUGAUGCCCAAACCGAGCUUUCGAGAUGAAAUUACGUCUGGACCGCUAACAUCUUUGGCAUGGAGUUCUUCAAGUUCAUCGAGUCCCUUCUGAAUGAGUCCUUUUAAUUCGAUAUUCGGUGGUUGGUGUACGCCGUUGCUUGGUUGAAAGUGGACAACCGACAGGAGACAAAUCAACGUUACAAUGGAAAGGAUUGAACGCAUUUUCCUAUGAGCACGGAUUGUAGAAUGUCACUUUGUGUUGGAGGUGCUUUGAGUUGGUCACUUCAGCUGAGGAAGCGAUGGAAGCCACUGAUACUCUUUGCUGUUCAAUCGUCCCGUUUUAUAGGAAACUAUAUAGUCCUUAUUUUUUUAGCACCAUAUCAUCACGCAUACUCCCCAACGUUUUAUUGUCUUUUCUAUAAAUUCUUUCCACUUUCUUGGUUUAAUGGGGACACUGAAGAAAACGCAGGCAGCGCGGAAUCAAAUCUUGCAUUUCACCUGUUUACAAAAAGUCCCGGUUCACGAUCCAGACACUAUUAAAGAGAAAAUGCGCAAAAUAGAUAAGUAUAUUGAACCAUUUCUUUUUCGUCAAUAUCCUCGAAAUCCAUGUUUUUUCUUUAGAAAAAAAAAACGGUUUCUACCUUCGCUGCUAGUGAAAACUAAUCAUUUGAGGAUUCCGGAAUAGCCGUGGGGCAUAACGAAGAAUUAUUUUAUAGUACGGGUAUCUAAAUGUUUUAUGUGAAACAACAAAGAGGGUAAAGUUUGGAAUGCGUAAAGGGUUGAAAUUUACCAUCGUCUCUUAAUGCCAUUUGCUUUUUUUAUUUAACUUGAUGGUCUGUUUUUUAACAGUUGGAUUUAUGCAUUUUUAAGUGUAAAAGAAGAGGAUUGUAUCGUCGAAGGCCAGUGGUGUUAAUAGCUCGUUUUUGUUUUAUUCUAAGUUAAACUAUUAGCCGGAAAAGUAUAUCAAUUAUUGUUAGUCAUCUUAUUCAAUUCCAUCAAUCGCAGUUUUGAUUAAAUUACAAAGGACAAUUAUACAUUA
rnacentral:lncRNA from 1 species